rnacentral:rRNA from 1 species
GACGAACGCUGGCGGCGUGCCUAAUACAUGCAAGUCGAACGAAGAUCUAGCUUGCUAGAUCUUAGUGGCGAACGGGUGAGUAAUACAUAAAUAAUCUGCCCAUAUGACUGGGAUAACUAUUGGAAACGAUAGCUAAUACCGGAUAGGUUGAUCGGAGGCAUCUCUGAUGAAUUAAAGUAGGAUUUCUACACAAAUGGAUGAGUUUAUGGCGCAUUAGUUAGUUGGUGGGGUAACGGCCUACCAAGACGAUGAUGCGUAGCCGACCUGAGAGGGUGACCGGCCACACUGGGACUGAGACGCGGCCCAGACUCCUACGGGAGGCAGCAGUAGGGAAUUUUCGGCAAUGGGCGCAAGCCUGACCGAGCAACGCCGCGUGAGUGAUUAAGGCCUUCGGGUUGUAAAGCUCUGUUGUAAGGGAAGAACAUCCAGGAUAGGAAAUGAUCUUGAACUGACGGUACCUUACCAGAAAGCCACGGCUAACUACGUGUCAGCCGCCGCCGUAA